rnacentral:tRNA from 1 species
GCCUGGAUGGCGGAAUUGGUAGACGCAGCGGAUUCAAAAUCCGCCGGUGGUGACACCGUGAGAGUUCGAGUCUCUCUCUAGGCA